AGGGUGCGAGCGUUAAUCGGAAUUACUGGGCGUAAAGCGUGCGCAGGCGGUUAUGUAAGACAGAUGUGAAAUCCCCGGGCUCAACCUGGGAACUGCAUUUGUGACUGCAUGGCUAGAGUACGGUAGAGGGGGAUGGAAUUCCGCGUGUAGCAGUGAAAUGCGUAGAUAUGCGGAGGAACACCGAUGGCGAAGGCAAUCCCCUGGACCUGUACUGACGCUCAUGCACGAAAGCGUGGGGAGCAAACAGGA
rnacentral:misc_RNA from 1 species